rnacentral:rRNA from 1 species
AUUGAACGCUGGCGGCAUGCCUUACACAUGCAAGUCGAACGGCAGCGCGGGAGCAAUCCUGGCGGCGAGUGGCGAACGGGUGAGUAAUAUAUCGGAACGUGCCCAGUAGUGGGGGAUAGCCCGGCGAAAGCCGGAUUAAUACCGCAUGAGACCUGAGGGUGAAAGCGGGGGAUCGCAAGACCUCGCGCUAUUGGAGCGGCCGAUAUCAGAUUAGCUAGUUGGUGGGGUAAAGGCCUACCAAGGCAACGAUCUGUAGUUGGUCUGAGAGGACGACCAGCCACACUGGGACUGAGACACGGCCCAGACUCCUACGGGAGGCAGCAGUAAGGAAUAUUGGACAAUGGCCGCAAGGCUGAUCCAGCAAUGCCGCGUGCAGGAA